GACGAACGCUGGCGGCGUGCUUAACACAUGCAAGUCGAACGAAGUGGCGAACGGGUGAGUAACGCGUAAUCAACCUGCCCUUCAGAGGGGGACAACAGUUGGAAACGACUGCUAAUACCGCAUACUGAAGGAGGGGAUUGCGUCUGAUUGGCUAGUUGGGAGGGUAACGGCCCACCAAGGCGCAGAUCAGUAGCCGGUCUGGGAGGGUGAACGGCCAAAUUGGGACUGAGACACGGCCCAGACUCCUACGGGAGGUCGCAGGGGGGAACUUUUCGCAAUGGACGAAAGUCUGACGAAGCAACGCCGCGUGAGUGAUGACGGCCUUCGGGUUGGAAAGCUCUGUUAAUCGGGACGCGGUACCGGAAUAGAAAGCCACGGCUAACUACGUGCCAGCAGCCGCGGUAAUUC
rnacentral:rRNA from 1 species